UGUUGGGGUAGUUAAACACAAUUGUUGUCU
rnacentral:piRNA from 1 species